UUCAAUUUUAACAAAAUUUGACAUAUAUGAUCUAAGAGAUAUGAACUUUCAAUCUAACGGUUGGAUUUUCAAAAUUCAUAUUUAAUAUAAAGUUAUUAAGCGGUGUAACACUUAGUAAAAGUUACACCGGUGUCGUUUGAACCUUCCUCACACACACACACACACACACACACACACACACACACACACACACAUAUAUAUAUAACAUUCACCAAAAAUUAUACAAUUUCACAAUACAAAAAAGAAAUCCCUUUAAUCAUUCCCAUUAAUAAAAAUUCAAUUUUUUUUAAUCGAUCCUCAUAUUCA
rnacentral:snoRNA from 1 species